AGAGUUUGAUCCUGGCUCAGGAUGAACGCUGGCGGCGUGCUUAACACAUGCAAGUCGAACGAUGAACCACUUCGGUGGGGAUUAGUGGCGAACGGGUGAGUAACACGUGGGCAAUCUGCCCUGCACUCUGGGACAAGCCCUGGAAACGGGGUCUAAUACCGGAUAACACUCCCGCACUCAUGUGUGGGGGUUAAAAGCUCCGGCGGUGCAGGAUGAGCCCGCGGCCUAUCAGCUUGUUGGUGAGGUAAUGGCUCACCAAGGCGACGACGGGUAGCCGGCCUGAGAGGGCGACCGGCCACACUGGGACUGAGACACGGCCCAGACUCCUACGGGAGGCAGCAGUGGGGAAUAUUGCACAAUGGGCGAAAGCCUGAUGCAGCGACGCCGCGUGAGGGAUGACGGCCUUCGGGUUGUAAACCUCUUUCAGCAGGGAAGAAGCGCAAGUGACGGUACCUGCAGAAGAAGCGCCGGCUAACUACGUGCCAGCAGCCGCGGUAAUACGUAGGGCGCAAGCGUUGUCCGGAAUUAUUGGGCGUAAAGAGCUCGUAGGCGGCUUGUCACGUCGGGUGUGAAAGCCCGGGGCUUAACCCCGGGUCUGCAUUCGAUACGGGCUAGCUAGAGUGUGGUAGGGGAGAUCGGAAUUCCUGGUGUAGCGGUGAAAUGCGCAGAUAUCAGGAGGAACACCGGUGGCGAAGGCGGAUCUCUGGGCCAUUACUGACGCUGAGGAGCGAAAGCGUGGGGAGCGAACAGGAUUAGAUACCCUGGUAGUCCACGCCGUAAACGGUGGGAACUAGGUGUUGGCGACAUUCCACGUCGUCGGUGCCGCAGCUAACGCAUUAAGUUCCCCGCCUGGGGAGUACGGCCGCAAGGCUAAAACUCAAAGGAAUUGACGG
rnacentral:rRNA from 1 species